UACAGAGGUCUCAAGCGUUGUUCGGAUUCAUUGGGCGUAAAGGGUGCGUAGGCGGCGCGGUAAGUCGGGUGUGAAAUCUCGGAGCUUAACUCCGAAACUGCAUUCGAUACUGCCGUGCUUGAGGACUGGAGAGGAGACUGGAAUUUACGGUGUAGCGGUGAAAUGCGUAGAUAUCGUAAGGAAGACCAGUGGCGAAGGCGGGUCUCUGGACAGUUCCUGACGCUGGAGAAGCGAAAGCAUGGGGGAGCGAACAGG
rnacentral:rRNA from 1 species